rnacentral:rRNA from 1 species
AGAGUUUGAUCAUGGCUCAGGACGAACGCUGGCGGCGUGCUUAACACAUGCAAGUCGAACGAUGAAGUUAUGACGGAGGCUUCGGCCGACAGAAUAAUGGAAUAGUGGCGGACGGGUGAGUAACGCGUGAGUAACCUGCCUUUCAGAGAGGAAUAACAUUUGGAAACGAAUGGUAAUACCACAUAACAUUACGUUCUCGCAUGGGGAUGUAAUCAAAGGUUUUAUCGCUGAGAGAUGGACUCGCGUCCGAUUAGCUGGAUGGUGAGGUAACGGCCCACCAUGGCGACGAUCGGUAGCCGGACUGAGAGGUUGAACGGCCACAUUGGGACUGAGACACGGCCCAGACUCCUACGGGAGGCAGCAGUGGGGAAUAUUGCACAAUGGGGGAAACCCUGAUGCAGCAACGCCGCGUGAAGGAAGACGGUCUUCGGAUUGUAAACUUUUGUUCUUGGUGAAGAAAAAUGACGGUAGCCAAGGAGGAAGCCACGGCUAACUACGUGCCAGCAGCCGCGGUAAUACGUAGGUGGCAAGCGUUGUCCGGAAUUACUGGGUGUAAAGGGAGCGCAGGCGGGAAAUCAAGUUGGAUGUGAAAUGUCGGGGCUUAACCCCGGAACUGCAUCCAAAACUGAUAUUCUUGAGUGAAGUAGAGGUAGGCGGAAUUCCGAGUGUAGCGGUGAAAUGCGUAGAUAUUCGGAGGAACACCAGUGGCGAAGGCGGCCUACUGGGCUUUAACUGACGCUGAGGCUCGAAAGUGUGGGGAGCAAACAGGAUUAGAUACCCUGGUAGUCCGCGCGGUAAACGAUGGAUGCCCGCUGUUGGGCCAACUGGUUCAGCGGCCAAGCGAAAGCAUUAAGCAUCCCACCUGGGGAGUACGCCGGCAACGGUGAAACUCAAAGGAAUUGACGGGGGCCCGCACAAGCGGAGGAACAUGUGGUUUAAUUCGAUGAUACGCGAGGAACCUUACCCGGGCUUGAAUUGCAGAGGAAGGAUUUGGAGACAAUGACGCCCUUCGGGGCCUCUGUGAAGGUGCUGCAUGGUUGUCGUCAGCUCGUGCCGUGAGGUGUCGGCUUAAGUGCCAUAACGAGCGCAACCCCUCUCCAUAGUUGCCAUCAGGUGAAGCUGGGCACUCUGUGGACACUGCCACCGUAAGGUGCGAGGAAGGUGGGGAUGACGUCAAAUCAGCACGGCCCUUACGUCCGGGGCUACACACGUGUUACAAUGGCAGGUACAGGGAGCCGGUCGUAUGCAAAUACGAUCCAAUCCUUAAGGCCUGUCUCAGUUCGGACUGGGGUCUGCAACCCGACCCCACGAAGCUGGAUUCGCUAGUAAUCGCGCAUCAGCCAUGGCGCGGUGAAUACGUUCCCGGGCCUUGUACACACCGCCCGUCAAGCCAUGAAAGCCGGGGGCGCCUGAAGUCCGUGACCGCAAGGAGCGGCCUAGGGCGAAACUGGUAAUUGGGGCUAAGUCGUAACAAGGUA